rnacentral:rRNA from 1 species
GCGGAGGGAUCAUUACAGAGUUGCAAAACUCCCUAAACCAUCGCGAACCCACCCCUACACAGUUGCUUCGGCGGCGCCCGAAGGCCCUAGCGGCCGGAGUGCCCGCCGGGGACCCCCCAAACUCUUGUUUUUAACAAAUGGCCUCUCUGAGUACUGUACUUUAAUAAGUCAAAACUUUCAACAACGGAUCUCUUGGUUCUGGCAUCGAUGAAGAACGCAGCGAAAUGCGAUAAGUAAUGUGAAUUGCAGACUUCAGUGAAUCAUCGAAUCUUUGAACGCACAUUGCGCCCGCGAGUAUUCUCGCGGGCAUGCCUGUUCGAGCGUCAUUUCAACCAUCAAGCCCCGGGCUUGUGUUGGGGACCUGCGGCUGCCCGCAGGCCCUGAAAUCCAGUGGCGGGCUCGCUGUCGCACCGAGCGUAGUAGCAUACUUCUCGCUCCGGGAGCGCGGCGGGCGCCUGCCGUAAAACCCCCUACAUACCAAAGGUUGACCUCGGAUCAGGUAGGAAUACCCGCUGAACUUAAGCAUAUCAAUAAGCGGAGGA